ACGUCUCGUUAGGAUGACUUGUCGGAAGGAGGUGAUUCUGCACUGGUGUCGCACCGAAUUGUUGGAGACAAAAUGAUGCCAUCGGACAUGAAGGAUCCGGCAUAGACAGAGGUGAUCGAAGGAUUCUAGUCGCUUAAUAUCUUCCACCCUCAUUGGCCAAGGUACUUUGGCAUUGUU